AAUCCAGAGGCAGUUCAUCUGGAGAGCCAUAAGCAAGGCAAACCGUCUCCAUCCUGCCCUGCACAAAUGAAGCCACCUAUCCUGCUCUCUCUGCAAUAUCGAGUCUGUACUGGGGGGCAUUGCCACAAUGCACGUGGUUUUCAUCACUGCUAAGAAGUUUUCAGUUCUGCCACCAGACGGAAGGAAACGCGCGCACCCAGAUCCCACUCCAGCAGCGCCACAGUCCUGUUGUUUUCUGUUGACUUCUGUGAAACUACCUGUGCUUGAAGAUCACCGUGUGGUUUUGCAUCUCGCUGAACUGAAGCCUAAGCAAACUCCAGAAAGUCAAACUGGGAGAUGCUGGCCGAGCCCAGCACAGCACUCCGGCUUCCUGGCUGUCCACUUCAGGACCCCAAAUUCAAGCUAUUUUGUCCUCAACAGAUUUGCCCCCGAACUGUCUCUAGGACGUGCCCGGCCUCUGUAGGAAAGGGAAGCUUCUUGGUAUGAGAGAAGAGAUGCACGUCUGUGACCACAUCCCACCGUUGCAGGCAGUGACAGCCGGCAGCUGCUGC